rnacentral:lncRNA from 1 species
AAAAGUUGGCGCAUUUGAGGAGCAGAGGCCCAAUGGGAUGCUUCCUUGAUGCAGUCAUCCCACUCCUUGUCGUCAUUAAGUAGCCCAAGAGCAUAACAUGCAGAUUUGUAUGUUGGAUGUACAACCCCAUCAACUGUUCGGAUUUCUUCAUAGGAUCUGUGUCCUUUCACGGUAUUUAGAAGCAUUCUCAAGUAGUAUUUUUCACCGCUUGUUGGUUGUGCAUAGUAAAUCCUGCCUAUGGUUUUUUUACCACCACGUCUUUUCCUCCAUUCUUUCUCUUUUGCAUGCCAAGUCCAUUUGGUUGGAAACCGUGCAUACGUCAAACUGCGAGCUUCCUCAUGCAAUUGGUUGGCUGUCAUCCAUUCUGUGAACAUUGUCUUUUCUAUGUUAGGCCGAGAUAUGAUUUUAUCUAAAUCCAUCGAGUCUGGGAAUACCACAACAUGUUUAUUUUCUAGGUGAAAUUGUAACCUUUCAACCGCAGGCUCUCUAUACUGAAGAGGAAACUGAAAUAUGCGCCAUGCGGCUUCACAUCCAGAUAUGUACCGAGCAUCAAGGUAUCUCUUGAUUUCGUCGUCCCUGUUUGUUAAUUUGCCACCUCUUGUUUCUCUUUGUUGCUCUUCUGUUUCUAUUAAUACUGUUGUUCGAUCUUCUCCUUUGUGGAUGUAUUUGAAUAAAUACUUUAUAGACCUUGAUCUUUUGCACCAUUCAACAUUUAUGUGGGCUUGAUACUUGACCAGUAUGUUUCUAUUGUAUGGCACAACAAAUCUAUUGUCUAGCUUCACUCCGUUUUUGUCCACAGUAUUGCCAUCAUCUCGUCUUCUAUAUACUGGAUAGUUAUCUUCAUCUAUUGUAGUUUCAGUGCAAAAACUCUUGGGGAAAUGUUUGGCACAACUUUUAUCGACCAUGCAUGGUGAUUUUGGGUGUGCUUGACCACAGGGACCAUGUAUCAUGUAAUUUUGCACUGCUUCAUACCCAUCUGGAUCACUAUUCUUGUCAGGAAUUUCGGCUGAUAUGAUUUUGUCGAUCUGGGAAGGACUGGGAUCUUUAUCAUCUGGAUGUAGAAACACCAGUAUAUGUGCAUGAGGGAGGCCUCUUUUUUGGAACUCUAUCGUGUAGACAACUGCAUGCAAGUAAAGAAAUAUGAGAAGAAAUGAUUUAGGACAAUCAUCUAGGCAAUAGUAAAUCUGUAGUUGGUUGGUAAACUUACUCGCAAUUGUUUGUCCGAAACACUUCUUGUUCUUUAUGUCAUUCAUAAGUUCCUUCAGUUUUAACAUGAAUACUCUGGCAACAAUGUCUGGACGAUCUUCAGGUUUCUGGCCUGGAAUCAGAUCCAGCAUAUCCUGUAUUUCCGGCCAUUUCGGAUUGCAUGUAAAAGUGAUGAAGAGAUCAGGAUAGCCAGCCCAACGACAAAUCGCCAUGGCAUCUUGGUAGUUUUGCUGCUUAUUUCUAGGGCUACCAUUAUAUGUUGAGGGUAGUAUGAUUCUUUGGCCAACUUGUUCAGUUCGUGUAUCUCCAUUUUCUAUUGCAUCAUGCAGUCCUCUGUAUAGUUCUGUCCUCAGCUUACCUUGGUUUGUCCUGUACCAAUUUAGUCUCCAUUGUUCAAUGCACGUUGCUGCAUCAACUAAGAACUGUAGGAACAAACGUCCACUCAUUUGCAAGGUUGUUGCUUGGUUAAGACGUUGUUGGAUGCGAUAUGCAUAAAACUCCAGCAUUGUUACAUACUUUCUCUUACCUUUGUCGCCUCUCUUUUUUUGAUACUCUAUUUCUGGUCUGAACCCAUCUUCUCCAUAUGGAAAAAGCAAGGGGUAUUGCAUUGACAUAUAGCUUGGGUGCAACUCUGAAAUCCUCUGUAACAUUCUGUCUUUGGUCUCAAUUAUUAUAUCAAAUUCAUUAUUUUCUCCAUCUUGUUCCCCGAUAAUUAGUGCUGCAACUUCUGAGGCAGAUGGGAGGUUGUAUUGCCGUCCAUCUUUCGACCUUUUGUUGAUCAAUCUUAGUCUUACAUCUUUAAUAUCUCGGUUUUCGAACCUGUCCCUUGCCAUACGAAACGAUUUGACUAAAACAUUGUGCUCAUCUAGCAUCUCUAGUAGACCUUUGACAAUGUUUUCAUCUGGCUUUGUCUUACUCUCCAUUGAAGUUGAUGCAGUAAUCCUGUUACGCACUUCAUUUUCUGUGUCAUGUAUGUACAAUUGGGCAAAUUUUGGUUUCGUCACGUCACCUUUAGGAAGUAAAGUGCCAAUCUGAUGGUAGUUUUGGCCAUUCAAACGGAAAACAUAUGGUCCAGGUGUCUGCUUAUUAAUUUCAUAGUCAACCUUUCCUCCCAUUGAAGUGAACGCGAACAUGGAGUUGUACAACCUGAUGUUCUGGCGAAAAUUGGAUGACUCUCCUCUUUCAUUGUAACGUAGUAGCUGUCGGAGAUACAACGGAGCUUGCUUCAGUGGUGGUAAUUUAAUUUUCCCUUCCUUGCAGCAGAGACCAAAUUUUGGAACUGUGAUGUUACGUGUGUUUGUGCUUCUCUCUCCAUGCCACAUAAUGGCAUUGCAAAAUUCACGAACGCAAUUUGGUUUCCCAAAUUUGAAACUUGAGUGACAUCCUUUGCUAUAUUUGAUACUUCACAGCCAUUAUUGUCCUUUUCUGUCCUUAUUCGUUUCCUUUCCCUUUUCAGCUGGAGUAUCUCUUUCCUUUUUCGUCUAGCUUCCUUCCUUGCUGCUCUGAUAAUAUCUGAUUGACUAUCAUUAGAUUCUACUGUCGCAAGCUGUGAGGUUCCUUGCUCAG